CUUGGCGGCGCCCCGUCGCCUGAAAGAACUACGAUUCCCGUGGAAGAGCGGGCCGCUGUCGUGUUCAUGUCAACAUGGCGGCCGUCAGGCAGACAAAGGCGAGUCCGCCGCGUCCGGCGCCCAGGGCGUAUUGAGGGGACUGCUGAGGGGAGUGCUGACGGGCGACGGGCGGACGGCGGAAAAGCGGGCGGCGAGCAGCACGCAGACUGCUGGCGGAGCUCCGGCACCGGGGCCGCGGGAAACAGAUUUGUUUUAGCGCAAAUACAUAUCCGUUAUUAAAUGCUGUGGCGGACGGAGGCCAUAGAUCCACACACUGAGUCUGAGAAUGUCCCACUACACAGACGAGCCCCGCUUCACCAUCGAGCAAAUCGACCUGCUGCAGCGGCUGCGCCGCACGGGGAUGACCAAGCAGGAGAUCCUGCAUGCGCUCGAAACGCUGGACCGGCUGGACCGCGAACAUGGGGAGAAGUUUGGCAGGCGGCCCACGUAUGGUGGAGGCGGGGCCAGCUCAGCUGCCAACAAUGGCAACACUAGCAACGCUGCUAUCACCGCCACCACAUCAUCCUCUUCCUCUUCCUCCACGCCCUCCAGUAACGUGGCGGCCUCCUCGUCCACCGCCACAGCGGCAACGCAGACGCAGUACCGCGGAGUCAGCAUUGUUGGCAGUGGGGGGGUCGGCAGCCUCUCCCCUUCACCCAGCAACAGCUAUGACACCUCACCGCCUCCUCCACAUGUCCCCACCACCGUUUCUCUGGGUGUUGUGACCCAGAAUGGGCGCGAUGGCCUCUCUUCCAUGCCCAAUGGGAAGCUGUCUCCACCUCGCUACCCGGUCAACAGCACAGCAGCACCGCGAGGCUAUGGCUUCGAGGCCGCUGAGGAGGACCUGGACAUCGAUGACAAGGUGGAGGAGCUCAUGAGGAGAGACAGCAGCAUCAUCAAGGAGGAAAUCAAAGCCUUCUUGGGCAACCGACGCAUCUCCCAGGCUGUGGUGGCUCAGGUGACAGGUAUCAGCCAGAGUCGGAUCUCCCAUUGGCUGCUGCAGCAGGGCUCAGACCUUAGUGAGCAGAAGAAGAGGGCCUUCUUCCGCUGGUACCAGCUGGAGAAAACAACCCCUGGUGCCACGUUGACCAUGCGACCUGCCCCUUUGACUUUGGAGGAGGCGGAGUGGAGGCAGACCCCACCACCCAUUAGUUCGACCCCAGGCAGCUUUCGCCUUCGCAGGGGCAGCCGCUUCACCUGGAGGAAAGAGUGCUUGGCUGUAAUGGAGAGCUACUUCAAUGAAAAUCAGUAUCCUGAUGAGGCCAAGAGAGAGGAGAUUGCCAACGCCUGCAACGCCGUCAUUCAGAAACCAGGGAAGAAGCUGUCUGACCUGGAGAGAGUCACUUCCCUGAAGGUGUACAACUGGUUUGCCAACCGUCGAAAGGAGAUCAAGAGAAGAGCCAAUAUUGAAGCAGCAAUCCUGGAGAGCCAUGGAAUUGAUAUGCAGAGCCCAGGGGGCCACUCAAACAGCGAUGACAUCGAUGGCAACGACUACUCCGAGCAGGGCUGCGAUGUCAACUUUUUUGACAAGAGACCAGUGUCCCGAUGCUUUGGUUUCAACCACACUGACCUGUCAUCGCCCACUCAGGUCCCCGGUUGGCCCCCGAGUUGGCAGCCCACAUGUCCCAGCCCAGGCCAGGAUGACAGCACCAGCCACAGUGACCACCAGGACCCCAUCACGCUCGCCGUGGAGAUGGCUGCUGUCAAUCACACCAUCCUGGCACUCUCCCGGCAGGGCGGGGCCGACGGCGGCGGUGGCGGUGGCAACGGAGGCGACAUCAAGACAGAGGUGCUAGACGAUGACUGAAGAGCCCUGGCAGGGACGGGGUGGGGGGCAGCAGAUUGGUAGUGCGUGAGUGAGUACGCACAGCGUGCUGGAGCAGAAGUGUGCCGUUGACCAAAUGACUAUGCGUAAUCAAUUAACUUUAGGAGCUGUCGGUCUCUAAUGAACCCGCCUCUUCCCUUUUCUGCCCUACUAUGUCAUGGUGCCCCUAGCUGCCUCCUGCCAGGGACCCUCUGCAGGUUAAAUCUGUAAAACGGAAAUAUAUAUGCUCUUGUCUGUUGAGAAUAAUAAUAAUAAUAAUAAUAACAAUAAUAAUAAUAAUACCAGGUUUUUAAUAAGUUCCUUUAUACCUCCCAUGGCAUUGGGUUUUUUGCCCUUUUUUUUUUUUUUUGUUUUUUUUCAUUACUCAAAUGCCUGACGUAGCAAACAACCAUGGAGCCCUUUCCACUCCCGCACGGGAGAAUGUCCCCUCUCUCUACCUCUGUUGCUGUUCUCAGAGCAGUAGUAUUAAUUGUCUCUUCCUCUGCCCUCAUGCUCUCUUAGUGUACAGAAGCUUAGACAAGGUGUUAGCUGUCACAUGUCAGUGUGAUAUGGUGUGGCGUAGUGUUCGGUGCAGCCCUCCCUUCGAAGCCGCUCCUCUCCCACGUCGGUGAGAUCUGCUUCGGCCGCCUUCGGGCAUCAGGGGCGAUACGUGGCGUGCAACUGAAAAAUCAUUUUUUUGUCUGCGUUCUGUGCCCAUCCGUAAUAAAGUUUUUCAGUAUAACAACUAAUGUUAGUUGUAUCGUUCCUGUAACAGGGACUAAAUAUCAUGAGAUGUGAAAACUUAAAGCUAAUUGUCUUUGAACUCUGCAGGAGUGGAUUAGCAACAUGAGGAAGGAGAGAUAGAAAUGAUCCACGUUUGUCCAUGUGAACUGAGGCCACCCCUGGAUUUUGGGGUUAUCUUCCAGCUCGUGCCCAGAGGGGUCCAGCAUCCUGAAUGGUAGAAUUAGUACCGACGAAAUGGCUUUGCAACAGCUGCCUGUAAUUGGACACUAAUUAGCUGUAUUCCCAGCUAAAACCAAAGUCAUUUUAAAGCAGUAAGUUAUUUAUUUAUUUAUUUUUUUUCCCCCCACCCUCCUCCUCCUAGCAGGUGCCCUUAAAAGAAACAAACAGCAGCAGAAAAAUUAUAUGAAAUAAUUAUUCUUUUUCUGACUGCCACUUUUCUACUUGGCAGAAAAAAAAGUUUUGGGCUCGUAGUCCUUUCUAAAGGGCUGGAAUUUCUUUUUUGUUUAAGCCGACAUUUCGGUAAACUGUGUAAGUCCCUCAGCAUUUCAAAUCCAGCCGCCCAAUCAAGCGAAUUGGUUGCUUGGAUUUACUGCCACACUUUACCAGGUGGUUUUUAGCUUAGUCCUGAAGAGCCCCAACCCACUUGGUUUUGUAUAUGAAAUUAAAUAAAUUUCUUAAUUGCUACCAAUUAAUCUCAGAACUUUCUAGUUUAAUGCCACUAUAGGCUGUGCUGUAGGACCUUUGAGCUACUUAACUGCAGUUGCUCCACUCAUCAUCUGAUAUGUAAAAGAGUAGAAUUGCAAGCGAUUCUAGAUAAAAGCAUCUAAAUUAUAAUGGUAAUACAGAUAAGUAGUUAACACUUUUAAAGCCAAUAUAGCCACUUUCUUUAAGAAAAUGUGCAAAAAAAAAUCCAUGCAAGAUGCGGCAUCAGGGUAUCCUUUUGGUGCUGUCCAGUGCUGUGUUUCUGCAGUCUUUAACAAAUUAUUGGACAGCCUGUGAACAAAGAAUUCACAACAGCAAAAAAAAAAAAAAAAAACCGACAGUGAAAGACAGCUAAUGUUUCUCUGCAGAAUGUAUCGUAGCUGUUUUCUUUGCUCUUCCCUAGGCUGGAUAAUACGCAACCGCAGCCUACGAUAGCCUUCACUUUACCUGCCCUCAUCGAGGAGAUGCUUUUUAUUCUCCACCAGUCUCUCUGCAAUUGAGAUCUUUUUCUGUUUAAAGCAGUCAAUGUAGUAAACAUUAAAUGUCCCACGGCAAACAGGCCCUAAAAUUCCGGUUUCAGUAGCAAAAGGUGAAGAGCAGCCCAGUGUGUCCGAGCAUUGCCUCUGUCUCUGUUCUGCGGCUCUAUGUUGUAACAGUAGAACAGAUUUAGGGCAGUUCACCAGGAUAUGUUACCUCAGUGAACCACAUCAUUGCCAAGCUUGUCGACUGACAAACAGCUUUAGUUUUCACAUCAUGGCUCUCUAAAGGCCAUAGAUAGGGUACGUUGGGUUUGCCUUUGGGAAGCAGGGGAUGUGGGGCUGCCCAAGAGCAGGGUGAACGGAAACAGAAGCGAUAAACGGAUAAAUGCAGUGCAAAAACCUGUAGCAAGCACAAUAUCAGUGCUGCCUGCCACAAAUACCCAUUAUCCAUCAGGGCGGAAAGGACUUGUAAUGAGUAGGACAUCCCAGCAGAGCCUGGAUUGGGGUUCUUCAGAAGCAUUUGGAGAAGGCAGCAUGUUCAACAGCACAGGACUAGAUGUGCGAAACAAGUCACUGUCGGGUGGACUGGACCCCUCUGGUGUCCACAUGGCGACAGAGCCGCUAAAAUGUACGUCGCUCCCAUAAACCGCGAUCCCUACGUCUCUUAGGAUGCUGCUUCUAACAGUGCAAGAAGGGACUUGCCCCCCCCCCC